AGAGUUUGAUCUCUGGCUCAGAUUGAACGCUGGCGGAAUGCUUUACACAUGCAAGUCGAACGAUGAACCUUAGCUUGCUAAGGGGAUUAGUGGCGAACGGGUGAGUAAUAUAUCGGAACGUGCCUUGUAAUGGGGGAUAACUAGUCGAAAGAUUAGCUAAUACCGCAUACGCCCUGAGGGGGAAAGUAGGGGAUCUUCGGACCUUACGUUAUAAGAGCGGCCGAUAUCUGAUUAGCUAGUUGGUGGGGUAAUGGCCCACCAAGGCGACGAUCAGUAGCUGGUCUGAGAGGACGACCAGCCACACUGGAACUGAGACACGGUCCAGACUCCUACGGGAGGCAGCAGUGGGGAAUUUUGGACAAUGGGCGCAAGCCUGAUCCAGCCAUUCCGCGUGAGUGAAGAAGGCCUUCGGGUUGUAAAGCUCUUUCGCAAGGGAAGAAAACUUACUUUCUAAUAAAGAGUGAGGCUGACGGUACCUUGAUAAGAAGCACCGGCUAACUACGUGCCAGCAGCCGCGGUAAUACGUAGGGUGCGAGCGUUAAUCGGAAUUACUGGGCGUAAAGCGUGCGCAGGCGGUUUGGCAAGUCAGAUGUGAAAUCCCCGAGCUCAACUUGGGAACUGCGUUUGAAACUGCCAGACUAGAAUAUGUCAGAGGGGGGUAGAAUUCCACGUGUAGCAGUGAAAUGCGUAGAGAUGUGGAGGAAUACCAAUGGCGAAGGCAGCCCCCUGGGAUAAUAUUGACGCUCAUGCACGAAAGCGUGGGGAGCAAACAGGAUUAGAUACCCUGGUAGUCCACGCCCUAAACGAUGUCUACUAGUUGUUGGUGGAGUAAAAUCCAUGAGUAACGCAGCUAACGCGUGAAGUAGAC
rnacentral:rRNA from 1 species